rnacentral:rRNA from 1 species
UACGUAGGGGGCUAGCGUUGUCCGGAAUCAUUGGGCGUAAAGAGCGUGUAGGCGGCUCGGUAAGUCCGCUGUAAAAGUCAAAGGCUCAACCUUUGAAUGUCAGUGGAUACUGCCGGGCUAGAGUCCGGAAGAGGCGAGUGGAACUCCUGGUGUAGCGGUGGAAUGCGCAGAUAUCAGGAAGAACACCAACGGCGAAGGCAGCUCGCUGGGACGGUACUGACGCUGAGAAGCGAAAGCAUGGGGAGCGAACAGG